CCCCCUAAAUACGCCCAAAAUGACACGACGCAGCGUCAUUCCCUUCGCGCUCUCCUCUUCCCAUAGCCCUAAUUCCCUUCAGUUGCAAACCCUAGAAUCUUCUCUACUUUCUCCAAUUUUCAGCGAGAAACCGUGAUCGGGUCGUUGAUUCUUGCUCUCCAAUGCUCGGCCCCAUCUACGAGUUUGCCCGCCGUCAAGAAAUUUCUCUCUCAGGUGGUGCUUUGCCCAAGUUGGAGAGAAUCCGUGUCUACUUGGCAUAAAUUUGGUCCAGGGUAAUAUUUAGAACAAAUCCUCUUUAUAAGCGCAGGGAGCAGAAUUCCUAUGGCUUCCCUUUUUGAACCGUAACAUCAACUUGGGGACAGCCAGAAUAAGCUGUACAUAUCAGCUUCACGAUUCCAGCAUGUUAGUCAACCUUAUUCCUCUUCUUGUUGUGAACGGAAUUAGAGUACGUAUGGUUUCAUUCACUCCUUAAAGAGGAACAAGCUAAUCCCGGCACGUGUAGAGGAUCUUGUUUAUGUUCACACCAACUUUCGUUUACUUUCGCGAAGUUCGGAAGAGUAUAUGGAAGGGGAAUCAAGAAUGUGGGAUAUUGGUGGAGAUGCCUUUGACUCAUUUCAAGGUGCCGACAUUUUAGAUGUUGCUGCCCUUUCUCUUGACGAGCCCACGAUGGAGGCCGUUAUGUUUGAGGAGGAUGAAGGAGUUGAAGCCAUAGAACGAUCUUUUUGAUGUUUCAACUUGAGAACUUUAUUUUAAGAUACGCUUCUGGUUGUAAUUUUUAUAUUUUUGCAAUGUUAGUAACUUAAUAUUUUGUAGCCAUGGAACUAGUUGCAACUUGAUCUUUA